GGAAUAUUGGUCAAUGGACGCGAGUCUGAACCAGCCAAGUAGCGUGAAGGAUGACUGCCCUAUGGGUUGUAAACUUCUUUUAUAUGGGAAUAAAGUGGUCCACGUGUGGAUUUUUGUAUGUACCAUAUGAAUAAGCAUCGGCUAACUCCGUGCCAGCAGCCGCGGUAAUACGGAGGAUCCGAGCGUUAUACGGAUUUAUUGGGUUUAAAGGGAGCGUAGGCGGAUUGUUAAGUCAGUUGUGAAAGUUUGCGGCUCAACCGUAAAAUUGCAGUUGAUACUGGCAGUCUUGAGUGCAGUAGAGGUGGGCGGAAUUCGUGGUGUAGCGGUGAAAUGCUUAGAUAUCACGAAGAACUCCGAUUGCGAAGGCAGCUCACUGGAGUGUAACUGACGCUGAUGCUCGAAAGUGUGGGUAUCAAACAGG
rnacentral:misc_RNA from 1 species